rfam:Flavobacterium succinicans strain DD5b FLB_contig000060, whole genome shotgun sequence.
CAUUAUGCGUGAGGGAUGGUAGUGGAGCUCUUUUUAGUAAAGGCAUUUUUCUUGCCUUUACUAAAAAAGCGGGAACGUACAGCCCGACCCGAA